ensembl:lncRNA
CAAGCUUUAGAGAAUUGUAUGUGCGUAGGCAACUUUGAUAAAUGAGGCCCCAGAAAAAGUGGGCAAGAGUUGGCAUUGCUUUACUUUUUUUUCCUUCCAGGCAGGCUUGUGUUUUAGUGUAGAGGUAAAAAUGAUAGAAUGAACUCACACAAAUAAUAACUUACAAUAAUUGUUUACCUUAAAACAAUCUACGAAGCUUGGGGUUGAUCUUUCAUUGACGAAGUGUACAUUUUGUCUAAAACCUUAAUGACCUGAACAAUGAAACCACACAUAGGGUGGGGUUCAUUGCAAUAGUUCCAUCUAGCGUACUAUUGGAGAACAACACUUGCUCAAAUGCGUGAGAGCAUGUUCUAUUAAAUCGCUUUUCUUAAUUCUCUGUGAUUUUGAAAUUUAGAUCAUAUUUGUUAAACACAUUUUCGAGAAAUAAACGUUUCUUACAAUGACGAUGAAACGCUUUAAAUUGAUCACGUGUGUCCACAAGUUCCAGUCCUUGUCAGCUGAGAUCCAAUUUCACGAUAUGCGCUGUCAAUUGUCAACGCAACCUUUUCUAUAGUGGAUGUUCUUUACUGCGAAACGAAUGUAAGUUAGAAUAUAUGUCCUGCUCACUAUUGAAAUUAAGUUGAUAACGAACGUUUAGAAGUAAAACAGUCUAGCGUAGCCGACCACACACUCCUCUAAAACGUGACUUUUCUGUGGGCGACUGUUGCAACCACCAAAUAUUGAUUUCAAGCCCCGGAAUAUAGGCAAAUUUCCCGGAUAUCAAAGCUGAUUGAUGAAUGUUUUUUUAAUCACCUGUUGCGCAUGGAAUCUAACAAUAACACUUUGCCCAGGUGAGGUUGGAUCUGGCCUGCUACUUUGGACACAAAGAUGUUGUGGAGGAGCUACUCAAGGAAGUAGUUAUUUUUCUGUUGCGAUACCUGUGCCACUAUCAUCUACGGGACAGCCCAGGUCCCUAAAUCUGUCUACGAGGAUAAUGAGACCAUCGCCAUGCACGAGGCUGCAGAGAUCAGAGAGGAGAAGAGGAAGGAAGCGAAGCUUCUGGGGGUGGACAGAGAGGGAGACAUCUUCAGCCUGUCUCAGCUGGUCAGCAUCUGAUCAUCCCUGGCCCUCCACUGAACCUCUCAACCUCAAGCUCUGCAAGAUGAGGCCUCCAGACAUCCACUGUAGAGACCUGCCUACAGGGGGCAGAAGCAGUGUGUGAGAAAGAUGCUCAAGUCUGGAGCCAGCCCCAGCAUCAAGAAUGAGCAACCAAACCGUUUUUGACCUGGCCUGGAGUGAGGAGAUUAAGCAGAUUCUGGUGGGCAGUCAUGACAAGAGUGCCAGUUUUCUGGGAUGGCAUUCCUAUUGGGUGGUCGUUCAAACGGAGUUAUAUUCUGGUAUCCAAGACAAGAUGCUUGGAUGCCCUGGAGGAGCAUGUGGCCAACAGCAGCUGUCACUACCCAGGAGCAGACAGAUGAGGAGGGGGAUGAAGAUAGAUCUUGGCGACCUCACAGACUCCCUCCAGGUCAGAUGAAGUCAACACCAGCGGAUCCCAAAUAUUUCCGUUCUGGAGACCACCAAAUCACUAUCAAAAGCUCUUGAUCUAAAAUAAAUAAACACUAAAACAUUUUGCAGACCAUCUGCACAGCGGACCACAGGUUGAAACCACUAGUCUACACGCACACACCCAGACCGGAACUCAAACCAACACAGAUUCCAACUUUUUCAGGGCUAGCCAAUCACAGAGUUCCAUUGUUACCUUAUUUUUAAUAUUCUACUCCAGAAAAGUGACAGUUGGUUUCAGUUAGCCCUGCUUGUGUGAACACAAGCUAAGCUAGCCCAGGCCCAUUCCGUCGUAUUGAUGCUUACACAAUUGUUUACAAGUGGGCUGUGUUCUUAUUGGCUCAUGCAUUCAUGGUGAAUGGGUUAUAGAAGCCCCUCCCCCUGUUGUGACUGGCCAGUAGCUGUGUGACAAGGGAGGGGUAGUAAACUGAGGGGCUGAUGGCUGUGUAUGUGUAGAAGGGAGGGUUUGUUUGUGCGUGUGCGCACCUGUCCUCGCGGCCGUGCCCUUGGGACAUCAGUAGAACAGAGUGGUAAUCACUAGCGAGCCUGUAGCAAGGACACAGCCGAGCAAGAUCCGCUUUUAUGCUGAGCUCUGCACUCUGCUUGCAGAUCAGUGCAGGCACACACACUCACACACGCUCUUGCUUAAGGGAAACGCUAGGCAUUUGGAGACGGAACUGUUGCACGUGCAUAUUAACACUCAAGCAGAGACACAUGCUUUCACACUCGCACGCACGUACGUACGUUCACAGAGGCAGCCACAAUUCUACCACCCAGCAGAGCAUCCCGAGGACAGGAGGAGGAAAAGUGACAGCAGCACCCUCUAUCCACUCAGGUACAGACAAACAUCCUCCCUUUGUUUUUCAUUGUCUUCUGAACUACUAUGGGUCUAUUUGCAUUAGGCUGCUCUUUAUAAACUGUGCUUGUUUCAUUCUGAGGCUAAGUACUUGAAGGUUGUUCAAGUGAGUGUUUCUUAAAUGUAUUUAUUUGACCUUUUAUUUAAACAGGGAUUCACCAUUUAGACCAGGGUAGGGUCUCUUUUGCAAUGUACGUAGAUCAUUAAAAACAGGCAUUUUACAUUCAGAACAAGUCAUCUUGACUGCUCUGAUGGUGAAGUGUGCCAUUGAGUGUGCAUGAAGAGGGUUUUGCAUAGUGUUCAGUGCAUUUACAACUUUUAUCUGGUAAUAUGCAUUUUAUGACAUUGGGUUUUAUUGCAGUGUACUCUGUCAUAUUGUUAGAGCAUUAUAAGAGGUACCUGACGAAGAGCUGAAACUGUUUUGAUAAAAAAAUGAAAGAGUUGUGAAUUUGUAGAGGAUUUAGCAAUACAUUUUACAUACAGUAAGGCCAUGCUGUGC